UCGAACGUAGUUAUCACACGUGAAGGAAUUCAAUGCUGAAGGAAAAACGGUGAUGAUUUUCGACUUCAUAGUAGACUGUGAGAAUCUGAAACAAAAGGUUAAUGGUUAACGACUGCGAUACGAUGCGCUCUCGUGACGAGUCACGGAACUACGGAAAGGAUGAGAACUAGAAAAGAAAUGUAAGCACAUCGCGAGUGAAAGAAAACUGAGUGUUCUGUUUGUGAUUCGAAGGGGGGAGUUGUUGGCUCGACUGGGCAACCAAGUGUUCCGAACAAUGCAUCCUCAAAACCAUAAUUAACCUGAUGAAUGCAGUGAGGUGAACGAAUACAACAAAUUCUGGUACAAAAGCAAAUGAAAAUGUUGUUCAUGUUGAAGAAGAAUAUCAACAUUGUGCGACUCAUGAAACACCGUAAUUUUUCCAUACAAAAUCUUUCUGCUGCGAGUGCUCUACAUUUUAAAAUCAAACGAACAACUUUGUGUCUCCGCUGGCUCCUUCGUUGGAAGAGUCCAUAAAGAUCGAGAAAAACGUCGUUAAAACCAGAAAAUUCACUUACCAUAUUAAACCAUAUGAAAAAACCUUUUGAUUAGCACAAUUGUUGAUACGGUAAAAUAAUGAAAAAAAGAGGUUAUGAAUAAUUUACAAAAUCUGGAUCACUUCGAUUACUGAGAGGAUUGAAAGUUGAAAGUGACAGUCAAGAAAAUAGAAACAAAGGUCAACCUCUCGGAUGAGUGUAAAUUUUGACAGUGCAUGUACAAGCUUUCACGAAAUCAAAAUGAAACAAAAAUUGCAGGAGGAAAUUUUGUUACAUUCCUACAAAUAUUGUGCACUUUACAUCUGAAAUUUCUAAAAUUUCGAAUUUUUUCUACAUCACAGAACAUUCUUUCUCAAUUUUAUGAAAAUUUGAACUUGGAACAAUGAACAUUUAGGUUAUCUUCAGUUUCCACUGCCAUAACCCUAAUUUUGACCUUCCAAUUCUUGUCACGUUUAUGAAUUUUAUAACUCUAACGAUAAGCCCUGAGCCUGAAGCUCGCAAAGUACAUACGAAGAGCACUAAAACUGAAAAAUUAUCGCGUUCUCGAAGAAAUGAAGAAAACAUUAAAACUUUCGAGAUUAUUACCAAGUAGGAUGAAAACUUUGAUGGAAGCAGACGAAAUCUCUGUUACGCAACGGACUUUUUCUCGUGCGUCUAUAAUUUUCUCAGUGCACCCGAAUCGAUCCGAUCAGAAUCCAAACAUUCUAAGCGAGCUUGAAAAAGUAUAAUAGAAUAGAAUAAUUUGUUUGCAUUCGGGAACGUGUCCAUUUUUGAGUGUUGCUCAUAACUGUCACUGACAUGCGAAAAUCAUCGGAAGAAACAAUCGGAAACAAUUGAAAAGACGGUCGAUUGGUUGACCCCACCGCUCGUCAAACCAAAAGAGGAAAAGACGCGUGUGAUUCCUGAGAGACUCUGAGACAAAGCGGAAGUCACGAACGCUCGUGCUGCGUAGGAAAACGCAAAUUGGUGCUCGCACACAAAUGUAUUCGUAUGAACGUACACUCGAGGCAUACACAGCGCGGAAAAGAGAGUAUUCAGCUCCCUGCGACGAUUCCACGUGGCCUGAGCCGAGCCUCAUUCAGCUCCACGAAGGCUUUCGAAAUCCACGGAUUUCCGAAUUUCAAACUUCAAAGUUCCUGGAUCAACGGUGCUUCCAAAGUUUGACGAAUACCGCCAAAAAGCCUGGCGAUUUUUACUACAUCCACGCUCUUCGCUCGCUCGAAUGCUCCUUGCCCAUUCGAGCCCCGAGUUUAUCCGACACUUCGAGUUCCAUUGAUUGAAACUAACCGAUUGUUAUUCUGCGCCACAACGAAUUGAAAAACGUCACGCUCACGGGACCAAGAACUGGAGAAACAAUGAUAAAAAAGCAAAUUUCAAAAGACGAAACUUACUUUAGAAUAAUAAUUUUAUUAUUUUAGAAAUACAAUCGAUAGAGAAGCAACAUUUUUGUACAAGUAGUAAUACUAAUGAGUUUUAUUUGCACGACCUUUGUGGCCUUUUACUAAAUUUACGUCGGUUACAUGCAUCCUUAAUGAUACAAUAAUUACAGUACUUUUCUUCUCUUUUUUAUUACAUUCUUUUUCUACAUAUUAAUUCUAUUUCUCUAAAAAACUGACACAGUUGCGCAUUCAUUUAUCCUCUCAGCGUCUUUAUCAACUCUUCCCUGGUACCCCUCCCAUCUUUAGCCUCUUUUGUCCAUGCCUUCCAUAUAUUCAUUCGUUUCCUCUGUUAUUGACUGUCUUCCUUUUUCGCAAAUGAUCAGAUCUUCCAGUAUUUAAUUUUCAUGCCUGCACGUCCUUUCUUUCCACCUUUGCCAAUAUUUCCACCCUUAUCUUUGCCCACAUUUCUUUAUCUUUCUUUAUCUUUAUACUUGCGAGGUUUUUUUUUUCAUUUUCAAUUAUUUCUUUAUACACACUGCUGUAUACGUCGAAUUUGAUUUAUACAAUUUUAUUAUUGAAAAAACGUUUGAAGACUGCCGCUGCUGUCGAUGUCACGCUGUCAGUUUUGUUUACAAAUUUUAUAGCUUAUGAAGCGAGUUUACUGUCCAAACUAGUAUUGCAGUGGAUAAAAAUGGUCGUUUUGUAAAAACUGACAAAACAUGAUCAAAAGGUCGAACUGCGAGGUCACGUGUGAACAUAUAUUGAACGCAGCGUUGCCAAACGUUCAAAUUUUUCCAAAUCUAAAAAAAAGUCAUUGGAACAAGGAAAUGUGGCAAUGAAAUGUAUGAUCAUCACUAAACAUCAU